rnacentral:tRNA from 1 species
GUCCCUGUAGCUCAGUUGGAUAGAGCAACUGCCUUCUAAGCAGUGGGCCGGGUGUUCGAGUCACCCCAGGGACACCA